rnacentral:rRNA from 1 species
GACGAACGCUGGCGGCGUGCCUAACACAUGCAAGUCGAACGAGGUCCAUCCAGUGGCAACACCGGUGAAGACCUAGUGGCGAACGGGUGAGCAACACGUGAGGAACCUGCCCCGAAGACCGGGAUAACUCUCCGAAAGGAAAGCUAAUACCGGAUGCCCCCACCGGACCGCAUGGUCUGGUGAGGAAAUGGAUUCCGCUUCCGGAGGGCCUCGCGGCCUAUCAGCUAGUUGGUGGGGUAACGGCCCACCAAGGCAUCGACGGGUAGCUGGUCUGGGAGGACGAUCAGCCACACUGGGACUGAGACACGGCCCAGACUCCGACGGGAGGCAGCAGUGGGGAAUCUUGCGCAAUGGGCGAAAGCCUGAAGCAGCAACGCCGCGUGGGGGAUGAAGGCUCUCGGGUUGUAAACCCCUUUCAGCAGGGACGAAUCAAGACGGUACCUGCAGAAGAAGCCCCGGCUAACUACGUGCCAGCCGCCGCCGUAACAC